rnacentral:rRNA from 1 species
AACGAACGCUGGCGGCAUGCCUAACACAUGCAAGUCGAACGAGACCUUCGAGUCUAGUGGCGCACGGGUGCGUAACGCGUGGGAACCUGCCCUUAGGUUCGGAAUAACUCCCCGAAAGGGGUGCUAAUACCGGAUAAUGUCUUCGGACCAAAGAUUUAUCGCCUUUGGAUGGGCCCGCGUUGGAUUAGCUAGUUGGUAGGGUAAAAGCCUACCAAGGCGACGAUCCAUAGCUGGUCUGAGAGGAUGAUCAGCCACACUGGGACUGAGACACGGCCCAGACUCUUACGGGAGGCGGCAGUGGGGAAUAUUGGCAAAUGGCGUAAAGCCUGAACGAGCAAGGCCGCGUGAGUGAUGAAGGCCUUAGGGUUGAAAAGCUCUUUUACCCGGGAUGAUAAUGACGGUACCGGAAGAAUAAGCUCCGGCUAACUCCGUG